ACAGCGUACGACUCUGCUUUAUACAAGAUUGUGUCUAGACCGCGUCUAUGUGGCCAGAAGUUCACUAACGCAGAUAUGAUCAGGGAAAAGAGGUGUCAUCCCAAGGAGGUAAAAGCGGAUUUGAGAAGGUCACAGGUGAAACAUCUUAGCAGUGGGAUCGCUGUUCUAGAUGUGGAGGCAUGGAACAUGGGUUCCACAAUUGUCGUGCCCC
rnacentral:lncRNA from 1 species